GCCUACGGGGGGCAGCAGUGGGGAAUAUUGCACAAUGGGGGAAACCCUGAUGCAGCGACGCCGCGUGAGCGAUGAAGUAUUUCGGUAUGUAAAGCUCUAUCAGCAGGGAAGAAAAUGACGGUACCUGACUAAGAAGCCCGGCUAACUACGUGCCAGCAGCCGCGGUAAUACGUAGGGGGCAAGCGUUAUCCGGAUUUACUGGGUGUAAAGGGAGCGUAGACGGCGAUGCAAGUCUGAAGUGAAAGGCGGGGGCCCAACCCCCGGACUGCUUUGGAAACUGUAUGGCUGGAGUGCAGGAGCGGUAA
rnacentral:rRNA from 1 species